rnacentral:lncRNA from 1 species
UUCUUUUUAUCCCCGCCCACUUACCACUACCCACCCACCACCAUCGGGGUUGGGAUCUGUCAGGCGCUUCUGCUUGGUAUCUGCGAUUCUCUGCCUCUUUCUGUCGUCAGUGCCCAUCGCUGCUGGGGGAAGCUCCGUAAUUAGGACCCUGGUGUCCAGGAACCGGAAAUGGGUUCCGUGUCAUUUGAGGACAUUGCUGUGGACUUCUCCUGGGACGAAUGGCAGCAUCUGGAUGUGGCUCAGAGGACUCUCUACAGGGACGUGAUGCUGGAGAACUACAGCAGUCUCCUGUUCUUGGGACAUUGCAUGACCAAACCUGAGGUGAUCUUCCAGUUGGAGCAUGGAUUUGGGCCAUGGCCUGUGGGAGACUCCUCUGUCCGCAGCUUUGCAGGUAUUCAUAAAGUGACUACCUCCUUUGACACCCACCAGGAAAAUCACAAGGGAUAUUUAUGGCAAGUUGAAAUCACCAACAGCCAGACUUCAAAUGAGAAAAUUACUGAAGCAGACCUGAAAGUGGCACAGAAGAUCCAACAAGGGACAGCAUCCUAUGAAGAUAAAGAUGUUGUGAAGGCAUUUAUCCAGCAGUCACAGCACACAAGGAGUGAGAUGAGUUACUCAUGUAAGAAAAGCAUCCAAUGUAAGUCGCCUCUCAGUAACUGUCAGAGGCUUCUUAGUGAGGAGACGCGGCACACACACAGACAGCGCAGGAAGUCACACCUGACUGAACAGAGAAGUCACGAAGGGGAGAAGCCAUGUGAAAGCUCAGGACGUGGGAAAGCUUCCCACACCAAGCCUCAGCGUCAGGCCACUCAUAGCGAUGAGAAGCCCUACAAAUGUCUAGAAUGUGGGAAAUAUUUCUACUACAAGUCACAAGUCAUUGAGCAUCAAAGAAGUCAUACAGGCGAGAAGCCUUAUGAGUGUACAGAAUGUGGGAAAUCUUUCAGCUAUAAAUCCCAUCUCACUAUACAUCACAGAAGUCACACAGGUGAGAAGCGUCAUGAAUGUACAGAAUGUAGAAAAGUAUUUUACUAUAAGUCCCAACUUACUCGACACCAGAGGAGUCAUACAGGGGAGAAGCCCUAUGAAUGUAUGAAAUGUGGAAAAUCUUUCUACUGUAACACACAUCUUUCUUUGCACCAGCGAAUUCAUGUAAAUGUGAAACCCUAUGCAUGUACAGAAUGCGGGAAAACGUUCUCUUUCAGCGCAUGCCUCACUAGACACCAGAGGAUUCAUACAAAUGAAAAGCCCUAUAAAUGUUCACAUUGCCCCAAAGCUUUUUACUUUAAGAAACAACUUACUCAUCAUGAGAAAACUCAUGCUACAGAGAAGCGCUUUGAAUGUAAACAGUGUGGUAAAGCAUUUUACUGGAGGGCCAACCUUACUGUGCAUCAGAAAACACAUGGUGGGGAGAAGCCCUUUGAAUGUAAACAAUGUGGAAAAGCAUUUUACUGCAAGUCCCACCUCACUGUGCAUCAGAGAACUCAUAUAAGUGAAAAGCUCUAUCAAUGUUCACAGUGCAGGAAAGCAUUCUACUCUCAGACACAGCUUACUGUUCAUCAGAGAAUUCACACUGAUGAGAAGCCCUAUGGAUGUAAGCAAUGUGACAAAACAUUCUACAGCAAGUCUGGGCUUACUGCACAUCAGAAAACUCACACGGGCGAGAAGCCCUAUGAAUGUAAAGAGUGUGGGAAAGCAUUCUAUAACAAGUACUUGCUCAUUGAACAUCACAGAGUGCACACAGGUGAAAAGCCCUAUCAAUGUACAGAAUGCAAGAAAGCCUUCUACUGCAAAAAAUAUCUUUCUCUACAUCAGAAAACUCAUGCAAGUGAGAAGUCAUUUCAUUGUGCAGAGUGUGGGAAAGCUUUCUCCUGGAUGUCACACCUCACUCAGCAUCAGAGAAUUCACACAGGGGCAACUGCAAGGGCCUCCUGAAGAUGGAUAUCAAGGGGCAGGAGAUGCAUGGGACUGGGGAGUGAAAUUCACAAAGACUCAAUAAAGGUUUUUUUGGUUUUUUUUUUUUUGAGUAUGUUUAGGGGCAUUUCAGAAAUUAUUGGGAAUUCUCCUUUUAUUCCAAGACAGAGUCCAUUUAAUAAUUUGUUUAUAUCAUACAUUUCUUCAUAUCAUCAACCCAGUAAAUAGCCAUCUCUCUGUCUGUCCACCCAUCCAAUUAUUUUGAGUCAAGGUCUCACUAUGGAGUUCUGGCUGGCCUUGAGCUCACUAUGUAGACCAGGUGAGGUGGCCUUGAACUUAUAUAUAUCUGCCUACUUCUGCCUCCUGAGUGCUGGGAUUAAAGCCAUAUGCCGUGCUCUUUUUCUUU